rnacentral:lncRNA from 1 species
GGCCUCCUUCUCCUGUCGGAGCUGGCGUGAUCAGGGAAGGCUGGAGAGGAGGAAGAGCUUCUGCUGGGCUCCUGUCUGAGACGAGGGAAUCCCAAACAAAGAAGAAGGAAAAGGCAGAACUCUCACCAGACUCCACGGCUUAGAGGAAUCCUGCAAAGCUGCAACUAUUGGCAAAAUCUCUACUCUGUUUUCUGGGGGGCUUCCCAGGUGGCGCUAAUGGAUAAUACUAUGGACAGAAGAACCUGGUGGGCCAUGGGGUCGCAGCGAGCCAGACGUGAAAGAGCACACACACUCCUCCGUGUCCCCAGAGCCCCAGAGGGACGGAGUGCUUGGGGAAACUUAGGUGACCCUAAUUCCCCCAUGACACUUGUCCUGGGUCUCUUUUCCACACCUUCCCAAUAUUAUUUCUGCUCCUCCCCUGAAUCUUGUGUUAUGUUAAUAGUCCCUAAGUAUUUUUAAUUAGAUUUUCCAAGCAAAAGAAAGUUUCCAAAGUUAAUUAAAAGUUGCCUCGCUGUAAUUGUAUGAAAGCAGCUUUUGCUUCUGAAAAUUAAAUUCUCAUAAUUAAACUCCUCUAUCCGUUU